rnacentral:lncRNA from 1 species
CACAAAAUUACUGAAAUGGGGCAUUUAAACCAAGCCAAGUUUUUCAAUGAAAAAGUUCAUGAUAUGGCAGCCUCUUUCCUUUGAAGAAUAGUCAGAAGGCUCAGAAUAGGUCAAUUUUAUAGAGGCAUGAUACUUUCCUAAAGAGGUAUGGACCGAUAUGAGGUUUUAAGCUUUUAUGCUACCUCUGUGUCUUGAAAACAUAGAAACAUUAAAUUUCCGACAAAGAAACAGAGGGACUGGGAGAACUUUUUUUGUUCUGAGUACAGAGUAGAACUGAAGUAAAUGUGAAACAAUGCCAGCGAAAAAUAGUCAAAAGGCCACUAAAGCAAGGAAAAGAAGCAAGGCAUAAUUCCAAGUUUUGGGGGACCACAGCUGUAUACUGAAGAUUACCAGGGGCCAUCAUGAAACAAGGUGCAUAUACUGCAGUUUACAUCUGGACCCUGAAGAACAUAUUUGUAUACAAUCCUGAGUAUCCCCUGAAAACCUGUUUUUAUGGAGAAACUUUAGAAGUGUUCAUUGAUUUGGGUGAAAAUAAAAGAAGUCUUACUGUUGGCAGGAAUCUGAGUUACCCCAAAUGACCUGUGGUGUAUCCGUGAGGGUCUGCAGCAACUUUAGCUCUUGCUUCCUUGGAAGAAAGAAUUCCCCUGAGGGAUAUAAAGCAGAAAAAGAGACUGAGGCAAGUUCCAGAGCAAGAACGGAAGUUUAUUAAAAAGACUUUAGAACGGAAAAGAAGGGAAAGUUUGCUUGGAAGAGACUCAAGUGGGCACCAAGGUCCAAGAGAUAAAAAAGGGUGCCAGGCGUGAUGGCUCACGCCUGUAAUCCCAGCACUUUGGGAGGCUGAGGCGGGCUAAUACGGUGAAACCCCAUCUAUACUUUAAAAAAGAAAAAAAAUUGCCGGGCGUGGUGGCGGCGCCUGUAGUCCCAUCUACUCGGGAGGCUGAGGCAGGAGAAUGGCGGGAACCCGGGAGGCGGAGCUUGCAGUGAGCCGAGAUCCCGCCACUGCACUCCAGCUUGGGCGACAGAGCAAGACUCCAUCUCAAAUUUAAAAAAAAAAAAAAAGAGCUAAAAAAGAAGAGAGAGAAGGUCAAGUGCCCUGUUUAACCAUGAUCUUAGGAGAGGUUUUCCUCUUUUCCAUGAUUCUUCCCUUAGGGUGGGCUGCCCGCGUGCACAGAGCCCUCCUUACCCUUGGGAAGUAAGCCCACGCAGUGUGUUUACGGAGUUACAGGCUUGCCGUUCUAAGGCUGUCUUCCUUUUUCGGGUAGCGUGUACUCGGAAGAUCA